rnacentral:rRNA from 1 species
UCAUGGAAUAUAUAAAAGUCGAAAAAUACGAACUACAGUUUAAAACUCAAAGAUUUUGGCGGUGCCUUAUCAAAUCAGGGGAACCUGUCUCAUAACUCGAUAAUCCACGAAUUUACUACCUUUUCUAGAUCAGACAGCUUGUGUACUGCCGUCGUAAGCACACCUCUAAAAGAAGCUAGUAUGCAAUAAUGAUAUACCUCAUUUACGUCAGGUCAAAGUGCAGCUCAUGAAAAGGAGACGAUGGGUUACAAUCUAAACAAAGAUACGAAAUAUAUUACUAAAAAAUAUCUAAAGGUGGACUUGAAUGUAAUUAAAAUCCAAAAUUAUAAUGAAACUGAAUCUAAGGCAUGCACACAUCGCCCGUCACUCUCACCUAAAGGUG